rnacentral:rRNA from 1 species
GGCAUGCCUUACACAUGCAAGUCGAACGGCAGCACGGGUGCUUGCACCUGGUGGCGAGUGGCGAACGGGUGAGUAAUACAUCGGAACAUGUCCUGUAGUGGGGGAUAGCCCGGCGAAAGCCGGAUUAAUACCGCAUACGAUCUACGGAUGAAAGCGGGGGACCUUCGGGCCUCGCGCUAUAGGGUUGGCCGAUGGCUGAUUAGCUAGUUGGUGGGGUAAAGGCCUACCAAGGCGACGAUCAGUAGCUGGUCUGAGAGGACGACCAGCCACACUGGGACUGAGACACGGCCCAGACUCCUACGGGAGGCAGCAGUGGGGAAUUUUGGACAAUGGGCGAAAGCCUGAUCCAGCAAUGCCGCGUGUGUGAAGAAGGCCUUCGGGUCGUAAAGCACUUUUGUCCGGAAAGAAAUCCUUGGUUCUAAUAUAGCCGGGGGAUGACGGUACCGGAAGAAUAAGCACCGGCUAACUACGUGCCAGCAGCCGCGGUAAUACGUAGGGUGCGAGCGUUAAUCGGAAUUACUGGGCGUAAAGCGUGCGCAGGCGGUUUGCUAAGACCGAUGUGAAAUCCCCGGGCUCAACCUGGGAACUGCAUUGGUGACUGGCAGGCUAGGGUAUGGCAGAGGGGGGUAGAAUUCCACGUGUAGCAGUGAAAUGCGUAGAGAUGUGGAGGA